AGCAUAUCAAUAAGCGGAGGAAAAGAAACCAACAGGGGAUUGCCCUUAGUAACGGCGAGUGAAGCGGCAACAGCUCAAAUUUGAAAUCUGGCCUCGGCCCGAGUUGUAAUUUGUAGAGGAAGCUUUUGGCACGGCACCUGCUGAGUCCCCUGGAACGGGGCGCCAUAGAGGGUGAGAGCCCCGUAUAGCAGGACGCCUAGCCUCUGUAAAGCUCCUUCGACGAGUCGAGUAGUUUGGGAAUGCUGCUCAAAAUGGGAGGUAAAUUUCUUCUAAAGCUAAAUACCGGCCAGAGACCGAUAGCGCACAAGUAGAGUGAUCGAAAGAUGAAAAGCACUUUGAAAAGAGGGUUAAAUAGCACGUGAAAUUGUUGAAAGGGAAGCGCUUGUGACCAGACUCGCGCCGGGCUGAUCAUCCGAGCUUCUGCUCGGUGCACUCUGCCCGGCUCGGGCCAGCAUCGGUUCUCGCGGGGGGAUAAAGGCCCUGGGAACGUAGCUCCUCCGGGAGUGUUAUAGCCCGGGGUGCAAUGCCCUCGCGGGGACCGAGGACCGCGCUUCGGCAAGGAUGCUGGCGUAAUGGUCAUCAGCGACCCGUCUUGAAACACGGACCAAGGAGUCAAGGUUUUGCGCGAGUGUUUGGGUGUUAAACCCGCACGCGUAAUGAAAGUGAACGUAGGUGAGAGCUUCGGCGCAUCAUCGACCGAUCCUGAUGUAUUCGGAUGGAUUUGAGUAGGAGCGUUAAGCCUUGGACCCGAAAGAUGGUGAACUAUGCUUGGAUAGGGUGAAGCCAGAGGAAACUCUGGUGGAGGCUCGCAGCGGUUACUGACGUGCAAAUCGAUCGUCAAAUCUGAGCAUGGGGCGAAAGAC
rnacentral:rRNA from 1 species